UUGUGUUCAGAAUAAUACUUACCCGAUGUGCGACUUUACUCCCACCAUAUGUAUAUAAAUUAGUCUCCUCUAAUAAACAUGCCCGGUGUGAGACUUUUUUCUAAGAUAGAUCCGAUGUGUGACUUUACUCCCACCAUAAACCCCUAACCCUCUUCUCGGCGGUGACUCUGACUUCCCUCGCAAGUCCUCCGUGGAUUCUCCCUCCGUCGCUGCAAACCCCUGACCUGGACUUCAUUUUCAAUUGUGGAGGUUUGUCUGUAGCAUUUGUUUUUGUGACUAACUGGGAUUGCAACAACGUGUCUCUGAUCUUCAGCAGGUAACUGAGCUGUUGGUUUUCAAGUCUUUAGUUGGGACUUUUUUAUCUAUUUCAUAAAGAGAUUUUCGAGAUUCAAUUCUUCUCAUACAGAGUUCAGAAAUUGAGAACACAAUUUGCACGUUUUUAUGUUAUCAUCACGCUCUAUUCAGUCAUACUUCAAGUGAGUUAAAUACGUUGCUUUUAUUUUGUUCUGAUUCAUCAUUUGCCAUGUAUAAUUCAUUUGGAGGUGAAAACUGAAACUUAUUACCAACUUUGAUGUGUUGUUCCAAUUGACAUUUCUUAUAUUAAAAAUAAUUACAGUAUACAAGCAGCAGAAAAUUGGAGAGAAACUGAAAGCUGAGAAGCAGCAAUCGGUGCAAGGAAUGAACUUUUACCUUAAAGUGGUUACUUCCAUUCCAGGCAUUGACAAUCACGAUGCAAAUGCGCUUAGUCAAGCUAUUGGUUCUGUCCAAGCAAUUCCCAAGGCAUCAAAAGACCAAAUUCUGGAGAACACAGACCUUUCUGCUGAGAAGGCAGAGAUGAUUUCAAGGUUUCUGAGGGACCCCAAGUUUUACUCUUCUCCCAAGAUCACCUGAUGGCGCAAUAACAAUGGAAUCCGGCAGGUCGGGAUCUUUUGUUUUCUCCCACAACAACAAUAAAUAAUAAUGUAAAAAGUCCUCGGAGAUUUAUCUUUUCAGGCUUUAAAACUUUUCAGGAUAAGCUCGAUGAGUCAGCACACAAGGUAUUAACUGAUUAUCAAGCUGCUGCAGUGACUCUCUUAGCGCUAUUAUCAGCUGCACCUGGUGAUAAGCAUCGCCAUCUGAAAUAAGAGGAUCUUUGGUAAGCACAAAUGUGCUUAUGAUCACUGCUGGACAGUUUCUUUUCUCCCUUGUCAACCUUGCUUUUACAGAGGUUCCAGGAACAUGGCGAUGGAUGUUCGGAGUAUCAGGUGUGCCAACAGUUGUUCAGUUUGUUUGCAUGCUCUUUCUUCCCGAAUCCCCAAGAUGGCUAUUUAUAAAGAAUAGGAAAAUGAAGCAGUUGAUGUGCUUUCUAAGAUCUAUAUAUGAUCUUGCUCGCUUAGAGGAUGAAGUUGAUUUCCUCACCGCUCAAUCGGAGCAAGACCGCCAGAAAAGGAAUAAUGUCAAAUUCUGGCAUGUUUUUCAAUCAAAGGAAAUCAGAUUGGCUUUCCUUGUUGGAGGAGGACUUCUGG